AAACCCUCUCAUUCCAAUUCUUUAUUAAUUUGAAGAUGUUGGUAAUGGAUGUUGAGUGUUUGCUGUGUUAAACAGCUCACUUUAAAUAUAUAAGUACAUUUAUUUGAUAAAUAAGUGGAGAAAUACUUGGUGUGAUAAUUAUCAUUCAUCAAGGAAUGUUGGAGUAGUAAAAUACUUUGACAGCCAUUUGAAUUUCAAGUUGAUAGCUUCCUAACCCCAAUUUUUAAUACCU
rnacentral:misc_RNA from 2 species